rnacentral:misc_RNA from 1 species
CGGGGAGAUAAAAUGCCUGAAAGACUUCGAUCAAGUGACUGUUCCACAUCCUUCAAAGUUAAGUAGUUAUCAUCGUGAUCCUCCCAGGAAUGCCUAAACCUUUCAGCGCGUCCCAACCUUAUAUGAGAUUUUGGUCCAAGAGGAGAAAGAGGCGGAGGUGGUGAGAAUGUACAUUCUCCGGGCAUAUCCAUUAUCCCAUCUUUCAACCGUGUUUUUAUCAUAUGUCCAUAAAAGUUUAUCCCAGGGGAUGGAGGAGUAAAAGGGAUCUCUGAUUCAG